UACAGAGGGGGCGAGCGUUGUUCGGAAUUACUGGGCGUAAAGCGUGCGCAGGCGGUUUUGUAAGCCAGAUGUGAAAGCCCCGGGCUUAACCUGGGAAUGGCAUUUGGGACUGCAAGGCUUGAGUGCGGCAGAGGAGACUGGAAUUCCUGGUGUAGCAGUGAAAUGCGUAGAUAUCAGGAGGAAUACCGAUGGCGAAGGCAGGUCUCUGGGCUGACACUGACGCUCAUGCACGAAAGCGUGGGGAGCAAACAGG
rnacentral:rRNA from 1 species